rfam:Oryza barthii chromosome 5, whole genome shotgun sequence.
CCUCUUUCCGUGUCCAAUGUUUAACCAUCUGUUUUAUUUAAAAAAAAUUAAAAAAAAAAGUCACACAUCAUGUUUUAUCAUCUAACAACAAUGAAAAUAUGAAUUAUAAAAAAAUUUCAUAUAAGACGGACAGUCAAAGUUGGACACGAAAACCCAUGGUUUGUCUUUUU